rnacentral:rRNA from 1 species
GACGAACGCUGGCGGCGUGCUUAACACAUGCAAGUCGAACGAUGAACUUGGAGCUUGCUCUGGGGGAUUAGUGGCGAACGGGUGAGUAACACGUGAGUAACCUGCCCUGGACUCUGGGAUAACUUCGAGAAAUCGGAGCUAAUACCGGAUAGGACCUUGCACCGCAUGGUGUGGGGUGGAAAGUUUUUCGGUUUGGGAUGGACUCGCGGCCUAUCAGCUUGUUGGUGAGGUAAUGGCUCACCAAGGCGUCGACGGGUAGCCGGCCUGAGAGGGUGACCGGCCACCCUGGGACUGAGACACGGCCCAGACUCCUACGGGAGGCAGCAGUGGGGAAUAUUGCACAAUGGGCGCAAGCCUGAUGCAGCAACGCCGCGUGCGGGAUGACGGCCUUCGGGUUGUAAACCGCUUUUAGUAGGGAAGAAGCCUUCGGGUGACGGUACCUGCAGAAAAAGGACCGGCUAACUACGUGCCAGCAGCCGCGGUAACAC